CCCUUCGACACUCUAGGCGGCACGCGCGCUACAAUGGGUGGAAGAACGUGUUACUGCCUCCGAAAGGAGGGGUGAAUCACGAAUUCUUGCCCGUGAAUGGGAUAGUUUGUUGCAAUUUUCGGACUUGAACUAGGAAUCCCUUGUAAACAUGCUCAAGAAUAGCGUGUUGAAUACGUCCCUGCCGUUUGUACACACCGCCCGUCGUUUCUUCCGACUGAUACUCAUUGUGAGUUGCAAGGACCCUUUAUUGGGAAAUUGCUGCAAAUGCUUUGUAUUGGAGGAAGAAAAAGUCGUAACA
rnacentral:rRNA from 1 species